rnacentral:tRNA from 1 species
GAUGGCCGAACGGGGGAAGGUGAGAAGGGGUCCACGAAAAUCCUUCUAGUGGAUUAAAUAUUGCGGGUUCAAAUCCCGCCCGUGCCACCA